rnacentral:rRNA from 1 species
GACGGACGCUGGCGGCGUGCUUAACACAUGCCAGUCGAACGGAAAGACCCUGCUUUUGUGGGGUGCUCGAGUGGCGAACGGGUGAGUAACACGUGAGUAACCUGCCCUUGACUUUGGGAUAACUUCAGGAAACUGGGGCUAAUACCGGAUAGGAGCUCCUGCUGCAUGGUGGGGGUUGGAAAGUUUCGGCGGUUGGGGAUGGACUCGCGGCUUAUCAGCUUGUUGGUGGGGUAGUGGCUUACCAAGGCUUUGACGGGUAGCCGGCCUGAGAGGGUGACCGGCCACAUUGGGACUGAGAUACGGCCCAGACUCCUACGGGAGGCAGCAGUGGGGAAUAUUGCACAAUGGGCGGAAGCCUGAUGCAGCAACGCCGCGUGCGGGAUGACGGCCUUCGGGUUGUAAACCGCUUUCGCCUGUGACGAAGCGUGAGUGACGGUAAUGUGUAAAGAAGCACCGGCUAACUACGUG